GAGGAUGAUCAGCCACACUGGAACUGGAACACGGUCCAGACUCCUACGGGGGGCAGCAGUGAGGAAUUUUGCGCAAUGGGGGAAACCCUGACGCAGCAACGCCGCGUGAGCGAAGAAGGCCUUCGGGUCGUAAAGCUCUGUCAAGUGGGAAAAAAAUCUUUUGAUCAAUAGUCAAAAGACUUGAUGGUACCACUGGAGGAAGCACCGGCUAACUCCGUGCCAGCAGCCGCGGUAAUACGGAGGGUGCAAGCGUUGUUCGGAUUUACUGGGCGUAAAGAGCGUGUAGGCGGUUUAGCAAGUCAGAUGUGAAAGCCCUGGGCUUAACCCGGGAAGUGCAUUUGAAACUGCUUCACUAGAGUAUGGGAGAGGAGAUUGGAAUUCCUGGUGUAGAGGUGAAAUUCGUAGAUAUCAGGAGGAACACUCGUGGCGAAGGCGAUUCUCUGACCAAUACUGACGCUGAGACGCGAAAGCGUGGGGAGCAAACAGGAUUAGAUACCCUGGUAGUCCACGCCGUAAACGAUGAGAACUAGGUGUAGUGGGUAUUGACCCCUGCUGUGCCGAAGUUAACGCAUUAAGUUCUCCGCCUGGGGAGUACGGCCGCAAGGCUAAAACUCAAAGGAAUUGACGGGGGCCCGCACAAGCGGUGGAGCAUGUGGUUUAAUUCGACGCAACGCGAAGAACCUUACCUGGGUUUGACAUCCUCUGACCGUCUGGGAAACCAGAUUUUUCCGGCUUUGCCGGAACAGAGUGACAGGUGCUGCAUGGCUGUCGUCAGCUCGUGCCGUGAGAUGUUGGGUUAAGUCCCGCAACGAGCGUAACCCUUGUCUUUAGUUGCCAUUAUUAAGUUAGGCACUCUAAAGAGACUGCCUCGGUUAACGGGGAGGAAGGUGGGGAUGACGUCAAGUCCUCAUGGCCUUUAUAUCCAGGGCUACACACGUGCUACAAUGGGCUGUACAAAGGGUUGCUAUCCCGCGAGGGGGCGCUAAUCCCAAAAAGCAGUUCUCAGUUCGGAUUGAAGUCUGCAACUCGACUUCAUGAAGGUGGAAUCGCUAGUAAUCGUGGAUCAGCACGCCACGGUGAAUACGUUCCCGGGCCUUGUACACACCGCCCGUCACACCACGAAAGUCGACUGUACCAGAAGUUGCUGGGCUAACCUCUUCGGAGGAGGCAGGUACCUAAGGUACGGCCGGUAAUUGGGGUGAAGUCGUAACAAGGUA
rnacentral:rRNA from 1 species